rnacentral:lncRNA from 1 species
CUUGUCUCUGUCCUGGCUGGGCUGUCCAGUCUUUGCACCUUUGCUCUGAAAGACAAUGGGAACCAAAGGCCACUGUCACCAUGGCAUAUGAGCAUUGGCCCCAGUAGGUCUGCAUCUUUUAAUGGUGGGUGGCAGUGGGUGGUACACUGGGAGGCCCAGGAAGUAGGAAAUCCUCUUCAGCAUCCAGGGGAAAUAUGCUCAGAACAGUGUCCGGUCUGUGGUAACUACAGGGGAGCUGUUAGCUGUCAUCCUUGCCCCCAGCCCAGCUCUGAGGUGCUGCAGAAUCAACAGGAAUUGGCAACUUCCUGACGAGAAAGAAUGUCACCAGCAUUUCAGGGAAAGCAAAUGGCUGCCUCCUAGUGCUGUUGGGGGCUCUUGGAGCUUUGGUCUCAGGAAGAAGAGCCUGAGUCUGAACAGGAAGUCUGGAGCCCUGAGUGUGAACCGCAGCUGCCUCGAUCAUAGAACAAAACAUCUUAACACAAAGAAUUUUGUAUUCAGUGCAUGGCAAUGGAGGACCCGUGGUGAGACACGCGGCUUGAAGACUACUUGCCUUAGUAGUAUCUGUGCAAAAAAGGAUUUUAUGACGAGAAGCCUGCCCAGAUCAGACCUACGGGGGUGUCUUCUGGAUCAGAGGGUGUUCAUCAGCAGUCUUUAAAAAGACCUCCUCUUCCUUAAGAAUUUUUGUUGGCAAAACAUGGAAGGUCAAAAGGGCAGAACUUCCUGUCGGAAUUUUAAAGCCUCUGUCGCCUUGAUUUUGUUCCUGGCUCAAUGGAGAUGAAUUCCAAGUUGAAGACAAACAAUUGUGCCUUGUGAACAGUCGUCCAUGUGUUGAAAAGACUCUAAGAGUGUUUUUUUUUUUUUUCCAAACCUGUCUCAGGGAAAAUUCCCCAUGGGGGAGGAAGGGAGAGUAAAAUCCAUGCUAGAAAGAGCAACUUCUGAUGACUCUGAGAAUGUGAUUUUCUAAAUAAAUUCAUGGAAGUCAAAAGUGUCUAAUAAUAA